rnacentral:piRNA from 1 species
UACUUUGCCUGCCAACUCCAUUUGG